rnacentral:rRNA from 1 species
GAUUAACGCUGGCGGCGUGCAUAACACAUGCAAGUCGAACGAUGAAACUUAGUAGACUUCUUCGGAAAGACACUAAGCGGAUUAGUGGCAAACGGGUGAGUAACGCGUGAGUAACCUGCCUUACACAAGGGGAUAGCCUUUGGAAACGAAGAAUAAUACCCUAUAAAACUAUAAAAGCACAUGCUAGAAUGGUCAAAGUGCUAGCGGUGUAAGAUGGACUUGCGUCUGAUUAGCUAGUUGGUGAGAUAAAAGCUCACCAAGGCAACGAUCAGUAGCCGGCUUGAGAGAGUGUACGGCCACAUUGGGACUGAGACACGGCCCAGACUCCUACGGGAGGCAGCAGUGGGGAAUUUUGCACAAUGGGGGAAACCCUGAUGCAGCGACGCCGCGUGAUUUAGAGGGCCUUCGGGUUGUAAAAAUCUUUUGUAUAGGAAGAAAAUGACAGUACUAUACGAAUAAGGUCCGGCUAAUUACGUG